rnacentral:rRNA from 1 species
CCCUUAGAUGUUCUGGGCCGCACGCGCGCUACACUGACGAAUGCAACGAGCUUAUAACCUUGGCCGAAAGGUCUGGGUAAUCUCCAAAUUUCGUCGUGAUGGGGAUAGAUUAUUGCAAUUAUUAAUCUUCAACGAGGAAUGCCUAGUAAGCGCAAGUCAUCAGCUUGCGUUGAUUACGUCCCUGCCCUUUGUACACACCGCCCGUCGCUCCUACCGAUUGAAUGGUCCUGUGAAGCGUUCGGACCGUGGCCUUUGGACGGUUCGCCGUCUGUUGGCUGCGGGAAGUUCGUUAAACCUUAUCAUUUAGAGGAAGGAGAAGUCGUAACA